AUUUAAAUAGUUUAAAAAAAAAUAUUGAUUUGUGGUAUCGAUGAUAUGAAUUUAUUCAUUUUAAAUU
rnacentral:tRNA from 1 species